rnacentral:sRNA from 1 species
UCAGUGGAGACUGAGAAGUUCUGUUUAUUCGCAGAACAGAUACAGCAUGGAAAGUAUCAGUGUAAGCUACUUCAUUCUUCUCCAUCAGUAUGCCUCAAUGCUGCUGUGGGUCUACCAACUCUUAAGCAUGAGAGGGCAGUAACCAUGCUGUCAGAUGACAUAG